rnacentral:misc_RNA from 1 species
GAUGAAGAACGCAGCGAAAUGCGAUAAGUAGUGUGAGUUGCAGAAUUCAGUGAAUCAUCGAAUCUUUGAACGCACAUUGCGCCUCCUGGCAUUCCGGGAGGCAUGCCUGUUCGAGCGUCAUCAAACCCCAUCGUGCAAAUGAAUUAUUUUUUUUGCGCGGAAGUGACGAUUGAGCGAGAAUAACAAAUCCUCUCGCACCUCGUCGAAAUGAUUGCGGGCGGAAUUUGGGAUCGGGUUCCUCGGCGUAGUGUAUCAAUGCAUAUUUAUGCAACUUGCCGCGGAGUUGAGCCUGACCCACGCGUUCUCGCCGUACAAACACCUCAUUACUUUACAAGUUUUUGACCUCGGAUCAGGUAGGGAUACCCGCUGAACUUAAGCAUAUCAAUAAGCGGAGGA